GAUUUUUAUGAUCAAGUUAAGCAUGACAUGUUACAAUUAAUCAGUAGAAUUUGAGAUAAUUUUAGAGAAAGAUAUUAAUCAUGAAUACAAUGAUUAUGCUCAAUGAAGUUUUAACAUGAAGGCAUGAAAUCAGCAUCAAACAUUUAUACUAGAGAGAAAAUUUAGAUUUUGAAAACUCGAAGGAGAAAGUUAUACAUAUUCAUUCAUUGUUUUCUUAUCAUCAUGCAAGCACUAGAAAAUUUCAUGCUAAGAUCGUUUAGAUAAGAUUUAUCAUAUAUACAAGGCAUUUAGUAAAUAUUCAGUAGCCUAACUGAAUUUACAAAGUUAAGCAUAUCAAGACAUGAAAUGACAAUUUAAAUUACAUUCACAAAUGAUGAAAUAAAAUUUAUUUAUAAGUCACGUGCCAUGGCACCCAAUUAAGAGUUUCACAUGAGUUUCAAGGGCUGCUUUGACACAUUUGCAAGAUAAUCUCAGUUUUUAUUUUAGGUACCCAAGCUUGCUUGGGUCUUUGGGAGUUAGUGCAUAUGGUUCCUUUUGGAACCCAAAUCUGUUUAAUUAUAAUAAUUUUACCAUUUGAUUUGCUUGUAUU
rnacentral:lncRNA from 1 species